CCUACGGGUGGCAGCAGUGAGGAAUAUUGGUCAAUGGACGCAAGUCUGAACCAGCCAUGCCGCGUGCAGGAAGACGGCUCUAUGAGUUGUAAACUUCUUUUGUCAGGGACGAAGAAAGUGACGGUACCUGACGAAUAAGCCACGGCUAACUACGUGCCAGCAGCCGCGGUAAUACGUAGGUGGCAAGCGUUAUCCGGAUUUACUGGGUGUAAAGGGCGUGUAGGCGGGACUGCAAGUCAGAUGUGAAAUUCCAGGGCUCAACCCUGGAACUGCAUUUGAAACUGUAGUUCUUGAGUGAUGGAGAGGCAGGCGGAAUUCCGUGUGUAGCGGUGAAAUGCGUAGAUAUACGGAGGAACACCAGUGGCGAAGGCGGCCUGCUGGACAUUAACUGACGCUGAGGCGCGAAAGCGUGGGGAGCAAACAGGAUUAGAUACCCUUGUAGUC
rnacentral:rRNA from 1 species